rnacentral:rRNA from 1 species
GCUUAACACAUGCAAGUCGAGGGGCAGCAUGGUCUUAGCUUGCUAAGGCCGAUGGCGACCGGCGCACGGGUGAGUAACACGUAUCCAACCUGCCGUCUACUCUUGGACAGCCUUCUGAAAGGAAGAUUAAUACAAGAUGGCAUCAUGAGUCCGCAUGUUCACAUGAUUAAAGGUAUUCCGGUAGACGAUGGGGAUGCGUUCCAUUAGAUAGUAGGCGGGGUAACGGCCCACCUAGUCUUCGAUGGAUAGGGGUUCUGAGAGGAAGGUCCCCCACAUUGGAACUGAGACACGGUCCAAACUCCUACGGGAGGCAGCAGUGAGGAAUAUUGGUCAAUGGGCGAGAGCCUGAACCAGCCAAGUAGCGUGAAGGAUGACUGCCCUAUGGGUUGUAAACUUCUUUUAUAAAGGAAUAAAGUCGGGUAUGGAUACCCGUUUGCAUGUACUUUAUGAAUAAGGAUCGGCUAACUCCGUGCCAGCAGCCGCGGUAAUACGGAGGAUCCGAGCGUUAUCCGGAUUUAUUGGGUUUAAAGGGAGCGUAGAUGGAUGUUUAAGUCAGUUGUGAAAGUUUGCGGCUCAACCGUAAAAUUGCAGUUGAUACUGGAUAUCCUGAGUGCAGUUGAGGUAGGCGGAAUUCGUGGUGUAGCGGUGAAAUGCUUAGAUAUCACGAAGAACUCCGAUUGCGAAGGCAGCCUGCUAAGCUGCAACUGACAUUGAGGCUCGAAAGUGUGGGUAUCAAACAGGAUUAGAUACCCUGGUAGUCCACACGGUAAACGAUGAAUACUCGCUGUUUGCGAUAUACAGCAAGCGGCCAAGCGAAAGCGUUAAGUAUUCCACCUGGGGAGUACGCCGGCAACGGUGAAACUCAAAGGAAUUGACGGGGGCCCGCACAAGCGGAGGAACAUGUGGUUUAAUUCGAUGAUACGCGAGGAACCUUACCCGGGCUUAAAUUGCAGAUGAAUUACGGUGAAAGCCGUAAGCCGCAAGGCAUCUGUGAAGGUGCUGCAUGGUUGUCGUCAGCUCGUGCCGUGAGGUGUCGGCUUAAGUGCCAUAACGAGCGCAACCCUUGUUGUCAGUUACUAACAGGUUCCGCUGAGGACUCUGACAAGACUGCCAUCGUAAGAUGUGAGGAAGGUGGGGAUGACGUCAAAUCAGCACGGCCCUUACGUCCGGGGCUACACACGUGUUACAAUGGGGGGUACAGAGGGCCGCUACCACGCGAGUGGAUGCCAAUCCCCAAAACCUCUCUCAGUUCGGACUGGAGUCUGCAACCCGACUCCACGAAGCUGGAUUCGCUAGUAAUCGCGCAUCAGCCACGGCGCGGUGAAUACGUUCCCGGGCCUUGUACACACCGCCCGUCAAGCCAUGGGAGCCGGGGGUACCUGAAGUGCGUAACCGCGAGGAGCGCCCUAGGGUAAAACUGGUGACUGGGGCUAAGUC